rnacentral:rRNA from 1 species
UGCGUAGACGGUUUCGUAAGUCGGGUGUGAAAGCCCCGGGCUCAACCUGGGAAUUGCAUUCGAGACUGCGGAGCUAGGGUGCGGAAGAGGGAAGCGGAAUUUCCGGUGUAGCGGUGAAAUGCGUAGAUAUCGGAAGGAACAUCAGUGGCGAAAGCGGCUUCCUGGUCCAGCGCCGACGUUCAGGCACGAAAGCGUGGGGAGCAAACA